rnacentral:rRNA from 1 species
UACGAAGGGUGCAAACGUUGCUCGGAAUUAUUGGGCGUAAAGCGCACGUAGGCGGCUUAGCAAGUCGGAUGUGAAAGCCCUCGGCUCAACCAAGGAAGUGCAUCCGAAACUGCUGAGCUUGAGUACUUAAGGGGAUCGCGGAAUUCCCGGUGUAGAGGUGAAAUUCGUAGAUAUCGGGAGGAACACCAGUGGCGAAGGCGGCGAUCUGGGAAGAUACUGACGCUGAGGUGCGAAAGCGUGGGGAGCAAACAGG